rnacentral:rRNA from 1 species
GAUGAACGCUAGCGGCAGGCUUAAUACAUGCAAGUCGUGGGGCAGCAGGUUUGUAGCAAUACAGAUGCUGGCGACCGGCAAACGGGUGCGGAACACGUACAGAACCUUCCUUUGAGCGGGGAAUAGCCCAGAGAAAUUUGGAUUAAUACCCCAUAGUAUAAUGAAGUGGCAUCACUUUAUUAUUAAAGAUUUAUCACUCGAAGAUGGCUGUGCGGCUGAUUAGGUAGUUGGCGGGGUAAAGGCCCACCAAGCCUGCGAUCAGUAACUGGUGUGAGAGCACGACCAGUCACACGGGCACUGAGACACGGGCCCGACUCCUACGGGAGGCAGCAGUAAGGAAUAUUGGUCAAUGGAGGCAACUCUGAACCAGCCAUGCCGCGUGGAGGAUGAAGGUCCUCUGGAUUGUAAACUUCUUUUGCAUGGGACGAAAAAACUUAAUUUAUUAAGGACUGACGGUACCAUGAGAAUAAGCACCGGCUAACUCCGUGCC